GGGAGCCCCGAGGAAGCAAUCAGUAUUUGAGCAUCUGCAUUAUCAGAGCAGCCCAAGUACUUCAAAGCGUUUACGUGGCGGUGUUAGGCCUUCCUUCCGUACGCAGGCAUCUAGACAUCACCUCAGAGCCCUGAAGAACCAGCAUUUGCCAAGUUCCUGUGCGGCCUUGACGGGGUCUCCUGCCGGCGGGGUUCUCACGAUGUCACGGACACUCCUCCUUCUCCUCACCUCAGGCCUUUCACUGUGGUUCCGGGAAGU
rnacentral:lncRNA from 1 species